rnacentral:rRNA from 1 species
GGGUUGUGAGGUUAAGCGACUAAGCGUACACGGUGGAUGCCCUGGCAGUCAGAGGCGAUGAAGGACGUGCUAAUCUGCGAAAAGCGUCGGUAAGGUGAUAUGAACCGUUAUAACCGGCGAUGUCCGAAUGGGGAAACCCAGUGCAAUUCGUUGCACUAUCGUUAACUGAAUACAUAGGUUAACGAGGCGAACCGGGGGAACUGAAACAUCUAAGUACCCCGAGGAAAAGAAAUCAACCGAGAUUCCCCCAGUAGCGGCGAGCGAACGGGGAGCAGCCCAGAGUCUGAAUCAGCUUGUGUGUUAGUGGAACGGUCUGGAAAGUCCGACGGUACAGGGUGAUAGUCCCGUACACCAAAAUGCACAGGUUGUGAACUCGAAGAGUAGGGCGGGACACGUGGUAUCCUGUCUGAAUAUGGGGGGACCAUCCUCCAAGGCUAAAUACUCCUGACUGACCGAUAGUGAACCAGUACCGUGAGGGAAAGGCGAAAAGAACCCCGGCGAGGGGAGUGAAAAAGAACCUGAAACCGUGUACGUACAAGCAGUGGGAGCACCUUCGGGUGUGACUGCGUACCUUUUGUAUAAUGGGUCAGCGACUUAUAUUCUGUAGCAAGGUUAACCGUAUAGGGGAGCCGCAGGGAAACCGAGUCUUAACUGGGCGUUAAGUUGCAGGGUAUAGACCCGAAACCCGGUGAUCUAGCCAUGGGCAGGUUGAAGGUUGGGUAACACUAACUGGAGGACCGAACCGACUAAUGUUGAAAAAUUAGCGGAUGACUUGUGGCUGGGGGUGAAAGGCCAAUCAAACCGGGAGAUAGCUGGUUCUCCCCGAAAGCUAUUUAGGUAGCGCCUCGUGAAUUCAUCUUCGGGGGUAGAGCACUGUUUCGGCUAGGGGGUCAUCCCGACUUACCAACCCGAUGCAAACUACGAAUACCGAAGAAUGUUAUCACGGGAGACACACGGCGGGUGCUAACGUCCGUCGUGAAGAGGAAACAACCCAGACCGCCAGCUAAGGUCCCAAAGUCAUGGUUAAGUGGGAAACGAUGUGGGAAGGCACAGACAGCCAGGAUGUUGGCUUAGAAGCAGCCAUCAUUUAAAGAAAGCGUAAUAGCUCACUGGUCGAGUCGGCCUGCGCGGAAGAUGUAACGGGGCUAAACCAUGCACCGAAGCUGCGGCAGCGACACUAUGUGUUGUUGGGUAGGGGAGCGUUCUGUAAGCCUGCGAAGGUGUGCUGUGAGGCAUGCUGGAGGUAUCAGAAGUGCGAAUGCUGACAUAAGUAACGAUAAAGCGGGUGAAAAGCCCGCUCGCCGGAAGACCAAGGGUUCCUGUCCAACGUUAAUCGGGGCAGGGUGAGUCGACCCCUAAGGCGAGGCCGAAAGGCGUAGUCGAUGGGAAACAGGUUAAUAUUCCUGUACUUGGUGUUACUGCGAAGGGGGGACGGAGAAGGCUAUGUUAGCCGGGCGACGGUUGUCCCGGUUUAAGCAUGUAGGCUGAUUAUCCAGGCAAAUCCGGUAACUUUCAAGGCUGAGGUGUGAUGACGAGGCACUACGGUGCUGAAGUAACAAAUGCCCUGCUUCCAGGAAAAGCCUCUAAGCAUCAGGUAACAUCAAAUCGUACCCCAAACCGACACAGGUGGUCAGGUAGAGAAUACCAAGGCGCUUGAGAGAACUCGGGUGAAGGAACUAGGCAAAAUGGUGCCGUAACUUCGGGAGAAGGCACGCUGGUGUGUAGGUGAAGCCCCUGCGGGUGGAGCUGAGACCAGUCGAAGAUACCAGCUGGCUGCAACUGUUUAUUAAAACACAGCACUGUGCAAACACGAAAGUGGACGUAUACGGUGUGACGCCUGCCCGGUGCCGGAAGGUUAAUUGAUGGGGUUAUCCGUAAGGAGAAGCUCUUGAUCGAAGCCCCGGUAAACGGCGGCCGUAACUAUAACGGUCCUAAGGUAGCGAAAUUCCUUGUCGGGUAAGUUCCGACCUGCACGAAUGGCGUAAUGAUGGCGAGGCUGUCUCCACCCGAGACUCAGUGAAAUUGAACUCGCUGUGAAGAUGCAGUGUACCCGCGGCAAGACGGAAAGACCCCGUGAACCUUUACUAUAGCUUGACACUGAACAUUGAGCCUUGAUGUGUAGGAUAGGUGGGAGGCUUUGAAGCGUGGACGCCAGUCUGCGUGGAGCCAACCUUGAAAUACCACCCUUUAAUGUUUGAUGUUCUAACGUUGGCCCCUGACCGGGGUUGCGGACAGUGUCUGGUGGGUAGUUUGACUGGGGCGGUCUCCUCCCAAAGCGUAACGGAGGAGCACGAAGGUUAGCUAAUCCUGGUCGGACAUCAGGAGGUUAGUGCAAUGGCAUAAGCUAGCUUGACUGCGAGCGUGACGGCGCGAGCAGGUGCGAAAGCAGGUCAUAGUGAUCCGGUGGUUCUGAAUGGAAGGGCCAUCGCUCAACGGAUAAAAGGUACUCCGGGGAUAACAGGCUGAUACCGCCCAAGAGUUCAUAUCGACGGCGGUGUUUGGCACCUCGAUGUCGGCUCAUCACAUCCUGGGGCUGAAGUAGGUCCCAAGGGUAUGGCUGUUCGCCAUUUAAAGUGGUACGCGAGCUGGGUUUAGAACGUCGUGAGACAGUUCGGUCCCUAUCUGCCGUGGGCGCUGGAGAAUUGAGGGGGGCUGCUCCUAGUACGAGAGGACCGGAGUGGACGCAUCACUGGUGUUCGGGUUGUCAUGCCAAUGGCACUGCCCGGUAGCUAAAUGCGGAAGAGAUAAGUGCUGAAAGCAUCUAAGCACGAAACUUGCCCCGAGAUGAGUUCUCCUGAGACUUUAAGUCUCCUGAAGGAACGUUGAAGACGACGACGUUGAUAGGCCGGGUGUGUAAGCGCAGCGAUGCGUUGAGCUAACCGGUACUAAUGAACCGUGAGGCUUAACCUUACAACGCCGAAG